GAUGAAGAACGUAGCGAAAUGCGAUAAAUAAUGUGAAUUGCAGAAUUCAGUGAAUCAUCGAGUCUUUGAACGCACAUUGCGCCCCCUGGUAUUCCGGGGGGCAUGCCUGUCCGAGCGUCAUUACAACCCUCAAGCUCAGCUUGGUGUUGGGCCCCGCCGCCCCGGCGGGCCCUAAAGUCAGUGGCGGUGCCGUCCGGCUCCGAGCGUAGUAAUUCUUCUCGCUCUGGAGGUCCGGUCGUGUGCUUGCCAGCAACCCCCAAUUUUUUUCAGGUUGACCUCGGAUCAGGUAGGGAUACCCGCUGAACUUAAGCAUAUCAAUAAGCGGAGGA
rnacentral:misc_RNA from 1 species